rnacentral:rRNA from 1 species
GACGUGGGGGGCCAGCGUUGCUCGGAAUUACUGGGCGUAAAGGGUUCGUAGGCGGUGUGGCAAGUCGGGAGUGAAAUCUCUGGGCUUAACCCAGAGACUGCUUCCGAAACUGCUGUGCUUGAGUGUGGGAGAGGCGCGUGGAAUUGCAGGUGUAGCGGUGAAAUGCGUAGAUAUCAGGAGGAACACCGGUGGUGUAGACGGCUUUCUGGACCGUAACUGACGCUGAGACACGAAAGCGUGGGUAGCAAACAGG